rnacentral:misc_RNA from 1 species
AAGUCGUAACAAGGUCUCCGUUGGUGAACCAGCGGAGGGAUCAUUACUGAGUGUAAAAACUCCCAAACCCAUUGUGAACAUACCUCUGUUGCUUCGGCGGAUGCGCCCCGGGCGCGCCCUCACAGGCGUGCCCCGGACCAAGGCGCCCGCCGGGGAACCGAAACUCUUGUUUUCUUAGAGAAUCUCUGAGUAUGAUUAUAAAUCAAAUCAAAACUUUCAACAACGGAUCUCUUGGCUCUA